CCGGCGAUGUCCGAAUGGGGAAACCCAGUGCAAUUCGUUGCACUAUCGUUAACUGAAUACAUAGGUUAACGAGGCGAACCGGGGGAACUGAAACAUCUAAGUACCCCGAGGAAAAGAAAUCAACCGAGAUUCCCCCAGUAGCGGCGAGCGAACGGGGAGCAGCCCGGAGUCUGAAUCAGCUUGUGUGUUAGUGGAAGCGUCUGGAAAGUCGCAGGGUACAGGGUGAUACUCCCGUACACUAAAACACACAGGUUGUGAACUCGAAGAGUAGGGCGGGACACGUGGUAUCCUGUCUGAAUAUGGGGGGACCAUCCUCCAAGGCUAAAUACUCCUGACUGACCGAUAGUGAACCAGUACCGUGAGGGAAAGGCGAAAAGAACCCCGGCGAGGGGAGUGAAAAAGAACCUGAAACCGUGUACGUACAAGCAGUAGGAGCCCACUAGUUGGGUGACUGCGUACCUUUUGUAUAAUGGGUCAGCGACUUAUAUUCUGUAGCAAGGUUAACCGAAUAGGGGAGCCGCAGGGAAACCGAGUCUUAACUGGGCGUUAAGUUGCAGGGUAUAGACCCGAAACCCGGUGAUCUAGCCAUGGGCAGGUUGAAGGUUGGGUAACACUAACUGGAGGACCGAACCGACUAAUGUUGAAAAAUUAGCGGAUGACUUGUGGCUGGGGGUGAAAGGCCAAUCAAACCGGGAGAUAGCUGGUUCUCCCCGAAAGCUAUUUAGGUAGCGCCUCGUGAACUCAUCUUCGGGGGUAGAGCACUGUUUCGGCUAGGGGGUCAUCCCGACUUACCAACCCGAUGCAAACUACGAAUACCGAAGAAUGUUAUCACGGGAGACACACGGCGGGUGCUAACGUCCGUCGUGAAGAGGGAAACAACCCAGACCGCCAGCUAAGGUCCCAAAGUCAUGGUUAAGUGGGAAACGAUGUGGGAAGGCCCAGACAGCCAGGAUGUUGGCUUAGAAGCAGCCAUCAUUUAAAGAAAGCGUAAUAGCUCACUGGUCGAGUCGGCCUGCGCGGAAGAUGUAACGGGGCUAAACCAUGCACCGAAGCUGCGGCAGCGACGCUUAUGCGUUGUUGGGUAGGGGAGCGUUCUGUAAGCCGUUGAAGGUGGCCUGUGAGGGUUGCUGGAGGUAUCAGAAGUGCGAAUGCUGACAUAAGUAACGAUAAUGCGGGUGAAAAACCCGCACGCCGGAAGACCAAGGGUUCCUGUCCAACGUUAAUCGGGGCAGGGUGAGUCGACCCCUAAGGCGAGGCCGAAAGGCGUAGUCGAUGGGAAACAGGUUAAUAUUCCUGUACUUGGUGUUACUGCGAAGGGGGGACGGAGAAGGCUAUGUUGGCCGGGCGACGGUUGUCCCGGUUUAAGCAUGUAGGCGGAUGUUCCAGGUAAAUCCGGAACGUUAUUAACGCUGAGGUGUGAUGACGAGGCACUACGGUGCUGAAGUGACAAAUGCCCUGCUUCCAGGAAAAGCCUCUAAGCAUCAGGUAACAUCAAAUCGUACCCCAAACCGACACAGGUGGUCAGGUAGAGAAUACCAAGGCGCUUGAGAGAACUCGGGUGAAGGAACUAGGCAAAAUGGUGCCGUAACUUCGGGAGAAGGCACGCUGAUGGUAAGUGAAGUGACUUGCUCAUGGAGCUGAAAUCAGUCGAAGAUACCAGCUGGCUGCAACUGUUUAUUAAAAACACAGCACUGUGCAAACACGAAAGUGGACGUAUACGGUGUGACGCCUGCCCGGUGCCGGAAGGUUAAUUGAUGGGGUUAUCCUCGCGGAGAAGCUCUUGAUCGAAGCCCCGGUAAACGGCGGCCGUAACUAUAACGGUCCUAAGGUAGCGAAAUUCCUUGUCGGGUAAGUUCCGACCUGCACGAAUGGCGUAAUGAUGGCCAGGCUGUCUCCACCCGAGACUCAGUGAAAUUGAACUCGCUGUGAAGAUGCAGUGUACCCGCGGCAAGACGGAAAGACCCCGUGAACCUUUACUAUAGCUUGACACUGAACACUGGUCCUUGAUGUGUAGGAUAGGUGGGAGGCUUUGAAGUGUGGACGCCAGUCUGCAUGGAGCCGUCCUUGAAAUACCACCCUUUAAUGGCUGGUGUUCUAACGUGGGCCCGUGAUCCGGGUUGCGGACAGUGUCUGGUGGGUAGUUUGACUGGGGCGGUCUCCUCCUAAAGAGUAACGGAGGAGCACGAAGGUCAGCUAAUCCUGGUCGGACAUCAGGAGGUUAGUGCAAUGGCAUAAGCUGGCUUGACUGCGAGCGUGACGGCGCGAGCAGGUGCGAAAGCAGGUCAUAGUGAUCCGGUGGUUCUGAAUGGAAGGGCCAUCGCUCAACGGAUAAAAGGUACUCCGGGGAUAACAGGCUGAUACCGCCCAAGAGUUCAUAUCGACGGCGGUGUUUGGCACCUCGAUGUCGGCUCAUCACAUCCUGGGGCUGAAGUAGGUCCCAAGGGUAUGGCUGUUCGCCAUUUAAAGUGGUACGCGAGCUGGGUUUAGAACGUCGUGAGACAGUUCGGUCCCUAUCUGCCGUGGGCGCUGGAGAAUUGAGGGGGGCUGCUCCUAGUACGAGAGGACCGGAGUGGACGCAUCACUGGUGUUCGGGUUGUCAUGCCAAUGGCAUUGCCCGGUAGCUAAAUGCGGAAGAGAUAAGUGCUGAAAGCAUCUAAGCACGAAACUUGCCCCGAGAUGAGUUCUCCCUGACCCUUUAAGGGUCCUGAAGGAACGUUGAAGACGACGACGUUGAUAGGCCGGGUGUGUAAGCGCAGCGAUGCGUUGAGCUAACCGGUACUAAUGAACCGUGAGGCUUAACCUU
rnacentral:rRNA from 1 species